AAACAGAAACCAAGCCGCUGAGCCUGAGAUGUUCUUUAAAAUAUAACGAGGACCUGUGUUUGGCUCACACCCGUUUCUCCAGUUCUAGAGGAUCAUCUUUCUUCUGGACCACACAGGCACAAAACACAGAUCAUCAUGUUUAUGCAGCUGGUCCUGUGAUUCGACGAAAGAGUUAACUCUGCUGAUGAACAAGAACAUAGAUUGUGAACCUCUGACUUUGCAUCACAUCUGUGUGGAUGGAAACAAUGGCCAGCCUGCACUCAAUGUACUGGAUAAAGUGUACUGACACGAAGGACAAGAUGCCCAACUGAUUGAAGAAGAUGGAAAGGGUACGGAUCACCUACAGCAAAGUGCAGGGUUGGUUAAUGUUUCCCAAUGUCACCUCCCCUGCCGCUGGAAAUCAGGAUGCUUGACACCCGGACACCAAAUUAUUAAAGUUUCAAGCAGUGACACUUUCUUCUCCACGUGGGGCCUGGCUUCUCCUUGACACUUUGUCCCUACAGUCCCUUCAGGCCCCUUGGCCUUUCCUCCCUGCCUUUAACCUCCAUAACUAAUUAGAUCUGGCCAACUCUUCAGUGAAAAUAGUUUGCUUCAAAGUUUUCAUUCAGUGUUCCCUUCUGGGCAUACUUUGUCAUGUCAGUCCAGCCUGCCCUUUUUACAUGAAGUUUAAAAGGCUGAGCUAUUUUUAUAAGAUUAAACAACAACAACAACAACAACAAUAAAACAACACAAAAACCCAUCUUUGAAGAUCUCCACCUACCUCAAUGCUUUACAUAAGGACUAGAGUGUCAAGUCUGAUAAAAGCUUCACAAGCCAUGAAAUUAUUAGUUUUAGAAGUUUGUGGAUAAACAAACAGUUCUAAGGAUUUUGGUCUUAUUUGUGGGAGUUAAAAUUUAAUGAUUUGUUGUCUGCUAGCAGUUUUAUUUGGGAUCUAUUUACCUUCUGCACUAAAAAAGUAGACAAUGAAACUAACCAACCAACCAACUAACCAAUCAACCAACAACCAACCAACGAACCAAAGACUGAGCAAUAUAGUUGGGCUCAUCUUCAGUAACUUUCUUUGGAAAUCUUGUUAGACAUUUAAGCAGCAUCAUUAAUGUCAUUCUCUAUUUCGGAAAAGACAAAGGUGAAGCUGAAGACAAUAGAGAGUUAAUUUUUC
ensembl:antisense Gm15689 predicted gene 15689